rnacentral:rRNA from 1 species
UACGUAGGGGGCAAGCGUUGUCCGGAAUCAUUGGGCGUAAAGCGCGUGUAGGCGGUUCAGUAAGUCUGCUGUGAAAGUCCAGGGCUCAACCCCUGGGAUGCCGGUGGAUACUGCUGGACUAGAGUGCGGAAGAGGCGAGUGGAAUUCCCGGUGUAGCGGUGAAAUGCGCAGAUAUCGGGAGGAACACCAAUUGCGAAGGCAGCUCGCUGGGACGUUACUGACGCUGAGACGCGAAAGCGUGGGAGCAAACAGGAUUGAGAUACCCG